GAUGAACGCUAGCGGGAGGCCUAACACAUGCAAGCCGAGCGGUAUUGUUUCUUCGGAAAUGAGAGAGCGGCGUACGGGUGCGGAACACGUGUGCAACCUGCCUUUAUCUGGGGGAUAGCCUUUCGAAAGGAAGAUUAAUACUCCAUAAUAUAUUGAACGGCAUCGUUUAAUAUUGAAAGCUCCGGCGGAUAGAGAUGGGCACGCGCAAGAUUAGCUAGUUGGUGAGGUAACGGCUCACCAAGGCGAUGAUCUUGAGGGGGCCUGAGAGGGUGAUCCCCCACACUGGUACUGAGACACGGACCAGACUCCUACGGGAGGCAGCAGUGAGGAAUAUUGGUCAAUGGGUGCAAGCCUGAACCAGCCAUCCCGCGUGAAGGACGACUGCCCUAUGGGUUGUAAACUUCUUUUGUAUAGGGAUAAACCUACCCUCGUGAGGGUAGCUGAAGGUACUAUACGAAUAAGCACCGGCUAACUCCGUGCCAGCCGCCGCCGUAAGAC
rnacentral:rRNA from 1 species